rnacentral:rRNA from 3 species
GCGGAGGGGUUCCACACGUACCCAUCCCGAACACGACCGUUAAGCCCUCUAGCGCCGAUGGUACUUGGACCGCAGGGUCCUGGGAGAGUAGGACGUCGCCAAGC